UACGUAGGGUGCAAGCGUUGUCCGGAAUUAUUGGGCGUAAAGAGCUCGUAGGCGGUCUGUCGCGUCGGCUGUGAAAACCCGGGGCUCAACCCCGGGCCUGCAGUCGAUACGGGCAGACUAGAGUGCGGUAGGGGAGACUGGAAUUCCUGGUGUAGCGGUGAAAUGCGUAGAUAUGUGGAAGAAUACCGGUGGUGAAGACGGUUUUCUGUGCUAAGCCAGACGCUGAGGCGCGAAAGCUAGGGGAGCAAACAGG
rnacentral:rRNA from 1 species